rnacentral:rRNA from 1 species
GACGAACGCUGGCGGCGUGGAUUAGGCAUGCAAGUCGGACGGUAGGGCUUUAUCGUAAGAUAGAGUUUGAGAGUGGCGAACGGGUGAGUAACACGUAGGAAUCUACCCUUAAGACGGGGACAACCCAGGGAAACUUGGGCUAAUACCGGAUGAGAGUGCGAGAGAUUGCAUUUAAAAGGAUGGCGAAAGUUGUCGCUUAGGGAUGAGCCUGCGGUCUAUUAGUUAGUUGGUGAGGUAAGAACUCACCAAGGCGAUGAUAGAUAGGCGGCCUUAACGGGUGGUCGCCCACACUGGGACUGAGACACGGCCCAGACUCCUACGGGAGGCAGCAGUCGAGAAUAGUCUACAAUGGUCGGAAGACUGAUAGUGCGACGCCGCGUGAACGAUGAAUCCCUUCGGGGUUAAAGUUCUUUUAUAUGUGAGCAGUGCUUCUUAUAUUAACAGUAUGGGGAAGAGAUAUUAGCAUAUGAAUAAGCAACGGCUAACUCCGUGCCAGC